CCUGCUGUUCCCUCAUGUACAAGAAGUCUUUACGACUAAGCAACAAGGCUCUAGGGGAGACAACUACGGGUCAGAUUGUCAACUUGAUGUCCAACGACGUGAACCGGUUUGAUCAAGCUGUAAUAUUUCUCCACUUUAUGUGGGUCGGUCCGCUCCAGGCUCUGGCCGUCCUGAUAAUCCUGUGGCAUGAACUCGGUCCCACGGUGCUCGCCGGGUUCGCAGUUCUACUCCUGCUUAUUCCUGUGCAGGGAUGGAUGGGAAAACUGUUCUCAAAACUUAGACAGAAGACGGCUGUUUUUACGGAUGAUAGAGUGCGCAUUAUGAACGAGAUUAUCUCAGCAAUUCGGGUCAUUAAAAUGUACUGCUGGGAGAAACCAUUUGGAGAAUUGGUCAGAAAAGUGCGAAGGUUGGAGUUGAAACACGUGUACCGUGUAAAGAAGCUGAAGAGUUUUCAGGCCGGCUCGAGUCACAUCGGCUCUCGCUUGAUGGCCUAUGGGGUCGUCCUUGCUUUUGUCCUCUCGCGCCACCGUGAGGGCUUUCGAGCUCGCAACAUAUUCCUCAUGUUGCCCAUGUUCGGCGUUAUCUCCAAGCAGGUGAUAUUCCGUAUGGGUCUCGCAGUUUCUGCAGCCGCUGAAUUACUUGUCACCAUUUCAAGAUUUAGGACGUUUCUGUUGUUGGAGGAGACUGAACAUAGCUCUUCCGUGGUCCACAAUGAUCUGCCGGCCAAGACUCACGACUGUUUUAUCAGGAUGAACAAUGUGACUGCAAAGUGGGACAAGAAUGUUGACCAGAACACUUUAGAAAAAAUUUCUCUGGAUGUGCGGCCGGGAGAGCUGGUUGCUGUCAUUGGACCAGUUGGAGCGGGCAAGUCUUCGUUGCUGAUGUCUCUGUUAGGAGAACUGCCGGCCAGCGAGGGAUCAAUUGCAAUAGGCGGCAGAGUGGCCUACGUAUCCCAGCAGCCUUGGGUCUUUUCCGCCAGCGUUCGACAGAAUGUUCUCUUUGGUCAGCAGAUGGACGACUCGUUCUACAGCAAGUGUCUAAGUGCUUGUGCACUCAACAAGGAUCUUGACAUUUUUCCGAAUGGUGACAGCACCCAGAUUGGUGACCGUGGGGUCAGUCUGAGUGGAGGUCAAAGGGCAAGGGUCAGUUUGGCAAGGUCGCUAUACACUGAUGCUGAUAUUUACUUGCUUGACGAUCCACUGAGUGCAGUAGACGCGGCUGUCGGAAAACAUAUUUUUCAGAGAGUUAUUCAAGGUGUUUUGAAGAAGAAGCCGAGGAUUCUGGUGACUCAUCAGUUGCAGUACUUACAGGCUGCAGACCGCAUCCUUAUUCUUAAAGAGGGCAGACUGAUGGGCACGGGAACCUAUGAAGAGUUAUCAAGGUCAGGAAUCGACUUUGCAUCUCUGCUGAAGGUCGAAGAGAAGGACGAAACCGGCGUGCCAGGAUUUUAUUCAUCACAUGCAAUCGGGCAGUCAUCAUCGAAAAUCAACAACAUCGGAUCAACAGUGUCGCUAAAUUCCAUCACCUCAGAUUUCGAGCCCGAGAAGGUCCAGGUGUGUGAGGAGGAGACAAAGAAGGUCGGGACUGUCGGGUUUGGUGUCUACCUCGAGUACUUCAAGGCGGGCUCGAACAUCUUCACCUUCACCCUGCUCAUCGUGAUGAAUCUCCUGGCACAGCUCUCCUACAUCAUGAGUGACUGGUGGCUCGCACGAUGGUCAAACCAGGAGGAAGCCAGAGUGGCGAAAAUCAAAGAAUAUGAAGCUGCCGGUUGGACGGGAUUUAACAACACGUAUAUCGGCGCAUACAAUCCCAGCACGAAUACCAGCACACCUACAGUUAGCACAAACUUUAGUGUAGAUCUACAUAACUCGAACAUAACCAUAGACAUUCCCGUGGUCGACUCGAACACAAACCUCUACAUAUUCAGUGGAAUAGUCGGCUCAGUCUUCCUGUUCGGUCUGUUACGAGCACUUCUGUUCUUCAAGAUCGCGAUCGACGCGUCACAGAAACUUCACAACAGGAUGUUCACCAACAUUCUGAGAGCGCCAGUCGUUUUCUUUGAUGCAAAUCCUGUAGGUCGAAUAUUAAACCGGUUUUCAAAAGAUAUAGGGCACAUGGACGAUUUGCUGCCCAUUACUUUCUUUGAUUUUAUCCAGUGUGCCCUGCUGAUUCUAGGGAUUGUUGUUGUGACUGGCGCCGUGAAUCCCUGGGUCUUCAUCCCGGUCGGACCACUCGGUGUCCUCUUUAUCGUCGUACGACAGUAUUAUCUGCGGACUUCACGCAGUGUCAAACGACUUGAAGCCACGUGUCGAAGCCCAGUUUUCUCCCACCUGAGUGCCUCCCUGCAAGGCCUGCACACGAUCCGAGCGUUCGGCAUGCAGUCCAAGUUCAUGCAAGAGUUCGACGCCCACCAGGACCUGCACACGGAGGCCUGGUUCCUCUUCCUCAGUACGAGUCGCUGGCUGGCUGUACGCCUCGACUGGCUCUGUGUCACGUUCGUCACAGCCGUCACCAUGUGCAGUGUGAUAGCAUCAGAGAAUCUGGAUGCUGGCCUGGUGGGUUUGUCUGUCACAUACGCUAUGACAUUGAUGGGUUUGUUCCAGUGGGGAGUGCGGCAGAGUGCUGAAGUAGAAAACCAGAUGAUAUCUGUGGAGAGAGUUCUGGAAUAUUCCAAGAUCUCUCCAGAAGCUGCUCUAGAAUCCGACCCUGAGCACAAGCCUCCAUCUGAUUGGCCAAAACACGGGAUCAUUACGGGGGAGGGAGUGUGUCUCAAGUACGCAGAAACUGCCCCCUGUGUUUUAAAGGAGCUCAACUUCUGUGUGCGCUCCAAAGAAAAGGUUGGAGUUGUGGGCCGGACGGGAGCAGGUAAGAGUUCCCUCGUCACUGUGUUGUUCCGUCUGUUUGAGCCGACAGGCAAGUUGCUUAUCGAUGGUGUCAACAUCCGAGAGAUCGGACUCCACGAUCUGCGCAGGACAAUCUCAAUCAUACCUCAAGACCCAGUUCUAUUUACUGGGUCACUGCGACAUAACCUUGACCCCUUCAAUCAACACGAUGACCAACAGCUGUGGAGAGCUCUUGAAGAGGUUCAACUGAAGCCCGCUAUAGAGGACCUGCCAGGUAAACUGGAGAUGGAGGUGUCUGAGGGCGGGAUCAACUUCAGCGUGGGUCAGAGACAGCUCAUCUGUCUGGCAAGAGCGAUUCUAGGUCGGAGCCGCAUUCUCAUGAUAGACGAAGCCACAGCUAACGUAGAUCCAAGAACCGACGAGCUGAUUCAGGCGACAAUCCGUGAGAAGUUUCGAGACUGCACAGUUCUGACGAUCGCCCACCGACUUCACACCAUCAUGGAUUCAGACAGGGUGCUGAUUCUUGAUGCAGGCCGGAUAGUCCAAUUUGAUGAACCGUUCAUCCUUCUUAAUAAGAAAUGUGGGAUGUUCUAUGACAUCGUACAACAAACAGGAAAAACCGAAUCAGAGGAUUUGUUACAAGUGGCAGAACUAGCUUUUGAAAGACGCAAAAUAACCAACUCUCUUAACAAGGGAGAUAACUCUCCUAGCAAGGGAGAUAAUGAGGACAUACCAGAGGAAAACAUAGCAAACCAUAUUGGAGUUGGUGGUAAGCCAGAAAUUUCUGAUGAGGAGACUGAUAUCCAAGAAAAGAAACCUGCCAAAACAGAAGAAUUGAAUGAUGAAGGAAGGACAGAUUUGGGAAAUAGGACAGCGAAACAAUUUUUGGUUGAUUUAGAAAAUCACCGUAUGAGUAACUCUGUCUCUGAAAAAAUGGGCUUACUAGAUAGCACUUCAGAUCAGGAAGACUUGACAGAUGACACCAGGAAACAUUCCUCGGACGUUUGCGUAGAGGAUCCCAGUUCCGUGGAUGCGCCCCUUCUCGAUGAUACUGCAUCAGAUAAUUCACUUCAUGUUUGAUUGGUGUCUGAUAUUGUUUUGAUUAUACUGUUGUGAAUUGUCAACAACCCCAGUAUAAUAGGGUUGGUUUUGUGUUGUUGUUUUUUGUGUUGAAAGAUUUUGUAUCAUUUUAUUAUAUACAGUAAAAUACUCUUAUAACGAAGCGGAAGGGCCCAUGAUAGUUAAUUCAUUAUAGCAGCAGUUUGUGUGUACACAUUUGCAUAAGUUGGUUAUUAAUUAAUGUAUAGGGAGAUAUAAAAUGGGACUUUACGACCAGUUCGUUCUAUGCCGUUGUUCAUUAUAAGUGCUUUACUGUAUUUAAAAUAAAGGUACAUAUAUCUGGCACAGACGCAUGAUUUAUGAAAGAAGGGGGGGUCCAAAUGUAAGGACUCAUCUCUCCUUUUACACAGCGCACCUCUUACAGCUGAACAAAUCAUGCUCGAAUUUACCACAAAAAAGGGGGGGGGGGGGGGGUCCGUAACCCCUGGAUCCGCUACUUUGUAUGUACUUUUUAUUAUGUUGGGUUUUGGGUGAUGUCGCAUGGAUCUCUUGUCUCAGUAACUUUAAUAUGCAAGGUGCUGUGGUGUGUGUAUUUCGGGGGUGACGAGGGGUGGGCGAGUAGGUUAUUCCAUCUAGUUAAGUAGUAACCACACUAAGUUUUACACUCGUUUAGGCCUGUUUUCCAUUAACAUGAUUUCACAUGCAAAAUGGAAUGCAACUUUAUCGAUAUAGUAUACAAGCAUGCAUGCAUUCAGGGCGCGGAACAAAAGGUUUAUCAAAGAGCUAUUUUUUUCUAUGCGCGAGUUUUACGCAUGGUGACAUCAUAACACAAAGUGUUUACUAAUGACUUAAAAGUACACUUUGGAAAUGCAGAUAGGGAAAUGCACAUUUCCGUGUGUGGAAACGUACAAUAAAUGAUGCGCAGAAUCAUGUUAAUGGUAAGAUGUUGUCUACGAAUCCACUUUUAAUGUAUCAAGCUGAUGAAAGUUUUAUGCUAGCAGUAUUUUGAUUGGUCAAUAAAAGGUCACCUGGCCAUGGAUCCGAUUUGAGAUCCGAUUUGAAUAGGAUUGAUUUUAUUUUUGACAAAUCUUCAUACAAAACCAUUAACUGAAUUCACUGAAUACCAUUUUAAAUGAUCACAAAAACAUAGCAUUCUCACCAGUUCUUAUAGCACCCUAGUUGGGCCCCUCUUCAGUAUGACCUAGACCUUCUACUGCAAAUGACUGCAGUAGAUUCAAAUCUUGUUAGUACUUAAAGGUUUUCUUCCUUUUUUUAUGCCUUGUGUAUUUUGUUAGAAAUGAUUUUUACUUCUCUUGUGUAUUUUUUCUUUUAAAUAUAUCAUUUUAUUGUGCCAAUUUACAAGGAUGUAAUUUGAUUUAAAAUGUUGAAAAACAUCCUUUGGUUAAUACUGGUAUAGAGUUUUUAGCUUCUUAAAGUUUUAUCUUUUACUGUAUUGUUAAAGGGGUCGCACCUCAGAAGUUAGUAAUCUUUUGAAUGAUCGACUGUUGUGAAAGUUUUAGUUUUUGCGAACAGUAAUCUUUUGAAUGAUCGACUUGUGAAAGUUUUAGUUUUUGGAGAACAGUAAUCUUUUGAAUGAUCGACUUGUGAAAGUUUUAGUUUUUGCGAACAGUAAUCUUUUGAAUGAUCAACUGUUGUGAAAGUUUUAGUUUUUGCGAACAGUAAUCUUUUGAAUGAUCGACUUGUGAAAGUUUUAGUUUUUGGAGAACAGUAAUCUUUUGAAUGGUCGACUGUUGUGAAAGUUAUUGUUUUUGAGAACUACAUGUAUAUAUCUUUUUAGUCAUUUGUGUUUUUAUUAGGUCAUUUUAAC
rnacentral:misc_RNA from 1 species